GUUAAUAAAGGUAGAAUCACUACAAUAAUGGGUUUGGGUGUUACACACAUUGCUAUCAUUUCAAUUAGGAUAAUGAUCAUAAAUUUAUCAUGGUCCAUUCAUUAGCGUUGUAGAACCAUAUCCUUUUACGAGACAAUCUUCUCUUUCUCUAUUUGUUCUACAUUAUCAAUUAGUAGAUCAUCCUAGUAGGCAAUAAACAUAUAAUUAGAGACACUAGGAAACUCAUGUCGACCUCCGUUAAACUUUUUAGUGCUUCUUGAUUUCGUGUUUCUUCAAGAGAAAUCUCUAACAGGGCGCUUUCCAUCUUUUUAUAAGUAUCAGGAUUGGCCCUGAAAAUUUGGAAGCCCAACCACAAAUGUUAAAAACGAACUCUUAAUAAAAAAAUGUAAAAAGUUUCAAAAAGAAUUAUCCUUAUCUAAAUAGUAAAUAAAAUCAAUAACAUAAAAAAAAAA
rnacentral:lncRNA from 1 species